rnacentral:rRNA from 1 species
AUUGAACGCUGGCGGCAGGCCUAACACAUGCAAGUCGAGCGAGCGGCGGACGGGUGAGUAAUGUCUGGGAAACUGCCUGAUGGAGGGGGAUAACUACUGGACACGGUAGCUAAUACCGCAUACCAUCAGAUGUGCCCAGAUGGGAUUAGCUAGUAGGUGGGGUAACGGCUCACCUAGGCGAAUAUCCCUUGCUGGGCUGCGAGGAUGACCAGCCACACUGGAACUGGGACACGGUCCAAACUCCUACGUGAGGCAGCAGUGGGGAAUAUUGCACAAUGGGAGCAAGCCUGAUGCAGCCCUGCAGCGUGUGUGAAGAAGGCCUUCGGGUUGUAAAGCAAUUUCAGCGGGGAGGCGUUACCCGCAGAGGAAGCACCGGCUAACUCCGUGCCAGCAGCCGCGGUAAUAC